rnacentral:lncRNA from 1 species
GGCUCUUUCAUCUAGGGCGGAGAGGGGGGCAUUUUAAUAAAGUUUCCAGAGAGAGAGACCCCCCCUCCUUAGUCUGUUACAGCAAAAGACAACGAGGGGGCCUUGGGUGGGUGGCGGGGGGCACCUUAAAAGAUUUAGCAAAAUUUACCGUGGCGUCGGCUUCCGCAGGCUGCAGGUCGCUUCGCUUCUGCUGUGGGGAUGCGGCGAGUCUCUCAGGCAAGACUAGUCGUGGCGAUAAAGAAAAAAGCGUUAUUACGAACCCCGAAACAAAGAAAAAUGCGAUUUAUCUUCCUCCCCCCCUCCAUAAAUUUGAGGAGGGGUUUGGAGAGAAAAUGUGUGGGUUUGUUUUGGGGGCCGGGCCAAAGAUUUCAGACGUGGAAUGAAGAACAAGGGAAGUGAGGAAGUUAUGAGGCCAAGAAAAAAUGCUUUCGGUUUAGCUUUGGGAGGCAGAUACAUUUGUUUUAUACAGUAUUGAUUUACUGGUCAGUGUUGUCGCACUCCCCACUAUGUGCAGUCACCCACCCACCCCUGAAUCUGGCACAUUGAGUUGUGCAUGGGGCCGCACCCUCACAGGCUCACACCCUUGUGACAUAAGUUAGGCCUGCUGUGGGGAACUGUUGCCUCCCAGAUAUUGCGGGUGGGUGGGUGGGGAAUAUUCCCUAUUCAUCUGUGAGGCCAAAAACUAGUGUUUUAUUGGGCACUUAUCCAGGUCAUGGGGGUGGAUCUUCCCAGCAUUACCUGCAACCCUCUGGCUCUCUGAUAUAUUAUUUAAUAGUUAUAAAACUCUAUUUAAGCAUUUGAAAUGCCUUGCAUUAUCUCGGUAAGGCAGGCUAGUAUUAUUAUUUCCAAAUGGCAGAUGAGGUCCUCAGGUUGAGUGAUAGAGAUUUGUCUAAUAGCGUGGCUUCAUUUGCCUGAGCUGCAAUAUAAUAUCUCUCCCAUGUUGGUCUCUAUAGCCUCUACAAUGCUGUAAUUCGCCAGUGGUUUGACUUUACCCCGGAUGGCGCACUCUUCCAUUGCCUCCCGAGACAGAGGGAUGGCAACCAUGACUGGGGUGAGAUUUGAACUCUGGACUGCCACAUAAAGUGCAGCAAAACAAAAUGCUAUCACUGUAUGGGGUGGUGCGUGUCUCUCAGUGCAGCUGAGAACCUAGCAUGGUGCUGUUUAAAAUUGGUGCAUGUGAAUCAAAAAAGGCACUGCUAGUACUUUUUUUAAAUGUGUCCCUUUUUAUUCAGUGCAUUUUAAAUGGUGUAAGAAUUAAUUUAAAAACAAUGGAGGACCAACAAGAAUAAAGGGACUUGAGCAACACGUAGGAGAAAUAAUGGUCACAACUGUGGUGAAGAGAAUGGAGUUCUGUAAUUUACUCCUUACUCUGACAAUUUGGUCAGAUAGAGCAGUACAUUUCUAGAGCAGGCCAUGCACUGGGCCUGAGGUGUUGUACCUCAUCAAUCAAAACAAUAGCUUUCAAGGUUGCUUUGGAAUAGUGACUAAGGUUAUUAAUAAAAGUUGAGUUGUUUCUUUAUCAGUGCAAGUACAUUUUGAGCAAACUCUUUUUCUCUCUGUGUAUGUAAAUUUCUUCUUUAAAUAGUGAAGAGGACAUUACUGUAAAUUUUACUUUGUUUCUUCUAUCUGACUUCCUUUGGCAUAGUUUCGGUUAACAGGCACCCAACAACUGCAGCAUUCUGUAAAUUUGAAAUAAUAGGUAUUGUUGUUUUGCUCUGUCCUCCAAGGCUACUGGAGCAACAAUAAACAGCAGCUGUGCAGUUUUGGAAGACUGUGUUUUACAUUAAUGUUGUAUCCAACACUGUUACUUUACCUAUUGGAAUCUUGGAAGUGUGGCAGUCAGGCUGCAUUUAUUUAGAAUACAUUAACUCUUUCCCACACAUAUCAAUAUAAGGAUGAAACAAAAAGAGCAAAGACAGAUAUUUUCCUGAUGACUGCCUAGCUUUAGAUCUUUGAACACACGUCUACCCACUCAGUAACGUGAGGCUGCACUUUAAAAGAAUAAGCUGGUAUUUGUGCUGUACUCUUCCCGUUUUUCCAGCAGCCCAUCCCCAUACAUUUUUCCCAGCCAGGCUCACUUCUGGCAUUAGAAGCUACAAGGCCAGAGCUCAGAUAGGCAGAUAGAAGCUGUUUUGAUGCACCAAAAAUACAUCUGUGCUUUCCAGCU